ACGUUAUCAAGAAAGGCGGAGGGACUAGACCCGGUGAAGCCUUAGCAACCCUUUUUCGUAGUCGGUAUCUAUCGCGAAGAAUAAAGAAGGUGCUACGUUCUAAUCCUAUGUUUUAUUCUAUUUGUCUGGAAUUUAAUUUAGGAAUAGAUAACAU
rnacentral:ncRNA from 2 species